AGGAUUUUCCCUUCGGGGACAGUGGAUACAGGUGGUGCAUGGUUGUCGUCAGCUCGUGUCGUGAGAUGUUGGGUUAAGUCCCGCAACGAGCGCAACCCCUGUCGUUAGUUGCCAGCAUUCAGUUGGGGACUCUAACGAGACUGCCAGUGACAAACUGGAGGAAGGUGGGGAUGACGUCAAAUCAUCAUGCCCCUUAUGACCUGGGCUACACACGUGCUACAAUGGUUGGUACAAAGAGAAGCGAAGCGGUGACGUGGAGCAAACCUCAUAAAGCCAAUCUCAGUUCGGAUUGUAGGCUGCAACUCGCCUACAUGAAGUUGGAAUCGCUAGUAAUCGCGAAUCAGAAUGUCGCGGUGAAUACGUUCCCGGGUCUUGUACACACCG
rnacentral:rRNA from 2 species